GAAACCGCGUAAUUGAACAAAAGAAUGAGAGGGAGAGAGAGAGAGAGCAUAAAAAUGAGUGAGAUUGUGUUGGCAUCAAAUUUUCCUGCGUUUUCAUGAUUUUAAUACAUUUCCUGUGUUCGCGGGUCUUAUAGGCAACACGCUUUUCUCUCCUUCUCAUUCAAUCCAUCCCUCUAUUUUAUAUCUCCAAACUUUCACUCACUCUCUCUUCUCUCUUUCUCUCUCUCCAAAGCCAAGCCAGAGUUAUGAACAAUCUCUGAGUUUUCAUUGAGGUGACUCGAGGUAUUUGUUCAAAAGAAGACAAAGAUGUCUGGUUUUGUGGGUGUACUUGUUUCUGAUCCAUGGCUUCAAAGCCAGUUCACCCAAGUCGAGCUACGUACUCUUAAAUCCAAUUAUGUAUCGAUAAGGACUCAGGCAGGUCGCACCACAGUCGGCGAUUUGCCUCCUGUUUUUGUAAAAUUGAAGGCUUUCUCAGAGAUUUUUAAUGAGGAUGAGAUUAAGACUAUACUGGGGGAGUCUUAUUCAAACGCAGGAGAAGAACUUGAUUUUGAAACCUUCCUCCGGGCAUAUUUAAAUGUGCAAGCUCGAGUACCUGCAAAAUCAGGUGGAAGAAAACUGAAAUCUUCUUCUUCAUUUCUCAAAGCAUCAACAACAACUUUUCACCAUAACAUUAAUGAAUCUGAGAAGGCUUCCUAUGUUUCCCACAUUAACGGCUAUUUGGGAGAAGAUCCAUUCUUGAGUAAAUAUCUUCCAAUAGAUGCAGCCACAAAUGAAUUAUUUGAUCUGGUGAAAGAUGGAGUUCUUCUUUGUAAGCUUAUCAAUGUGGCUGUUCCUGGGACUAUAGAUGAGCGAGCUAUUAACACAAAAAAGGUCCUUAACCCAUGGGAAAGAAAUGAGAAUCACACCCUUUGCCUCAAUUCUGCGAAGGCUAUUGGCUGCACAGUUGUUAAUAUUGGAACACAAGACCUUGUUGAAGCUAGACCCCAUCUGGUACUUGGAUUGAUUUCUCAAAUUAUUAAGUCUCAUUUUAGUCAUAAGACCGGGAGAAUUGGAUUAUCUGGGCUUCCCUUGUAACUUGUGGUAUUUCUGUAUGGUGGCAACUUCAGAUUCAACUGUUAGCAGAUCUUAGCCUUAAGAAGACGCCUCAGCUUGUGGAGUUAGUGGAUGAUAACAAUGAUAUUGAGGAGCUUAUGGGCUUGGCCCCUGAAAAAAUUUUGUUAAAAUGGAUGAAUUUCCAUUUGAAGAAAGCAGGCUAUGAGAAACCUGUUGCAAAUUUUUCAUCUGAUUUGAAGGAUGGAAAGGCUUAUGCCUACCUGCUUAAUGUUCUUGCCCCAGAAUUCUGCAAUCCAGCUACAUUGGAUGCCAAGGAUUCCAAGGAAAGGGCUAAGCUGGUACUUGAUCAUGCGGAGAGGAUGGACUGCAAAAGAUAUUUAAAACCAGAAGAUAUUGUUGAAGGUUCACCAAAUCUGAAUCUUGCAUUUGUUGCACAAAUAUUUCAUCAAAGGAGUGGCCUUUCUACAGACAGUAAAAAGUAUUCCUUUGCAGAGAUGAUGAAAGAUGAUGUCCAGACAUCAAGGGAAGAGAGAUGCUUUCGACUGUGGAUCAACAGUCUUGGAAUUGCUACUUAUGUUAACAAUGUAUUUGAGGAUGUUAGAAAUGGAUGGUUACUUUUAGAAGUGCUUGACAAAAUUUCUCCUGGAUCAGUUAACUGGAAACAGGCAUCAAAGCCUCCAAUCAAGAUGCCGUUCAGAAAAGUAGAGAACUGCAAUCAAGUGAUAAAGAUUGGGAGACAAUUGAAAUUUUCCCUUGUUAAUGUAGGUGGAAACGAUAUUGUACAAGGAAAUAAGAAGCUCAUUCUUGCUUUCUUAUGGCAGUUGAUGAGAUAUAAUAUGCUUCAACUCCUGAAGAACUUGAGAUCUCACUCUCAAGGGAAGGAAAUAACUGAUGCUGAUAUUCUAAAAUGGACAAACAGGAAGGUUAGAAGUACAGGCAGAACUUCUCAAAUUGACAACUUCAAGGUUAGCAAAUUUUGGCACUUAUCUUUCUGUAAACCAUCAUAUCCUGAAUCCGUGGACCAUAAAUUUUGCAUGGUAUUAUUUUUCUCAACUUUUUUCAGGAUAAAAGUCUGUCAACAGGGAUAUUCUUCCUGGAGCUUCUGAGUGCUGUGGAGCCUAGGGUGGUCAAUUGGAACCUUGUUACCAAGGGUGAAACUGGUAUGCUAGUUCGCUAGUGCCACUAUUUUGGGCCAGACUAGAAAUAACUUGUAUUUGUGUUUAAGAGUAUAUUAUGAUUGCUCUUUUAUUUUUAAUCUUUCUGUUUACUUUUCUAAAGUGCCAGAGAAUAUGUUGAAAAAAACUGAUGGAAUUUUUUUUCUCUUCCUUUCUUUUCUUCCCUUUCUUCCAUGAAAUUCAGACGAUGAGAAGAGAUUAAAUGCUACAUACAUUAUCAGUGUGGCAAGGAAACUUGGCUGUUCCAUUUUCUUGUUGCCUGAGGAUAUCAUAGAGGUAGGAAUGCUACUGUAUUGGAUUGGUAAUUGUUUUAGAAGAUAUAUGGGAGCUCUUAAACACAACUUUAUGUGCUCCAUUUGUAACAAUGGCAAGCCUAGUCUGAUUGUGAAGAUUGUAGAACUUCUUCCUGAAAAAUUAACUGAAGCAAGGUUUCACCAAAACUUGCAGACUUGCAAUUUCUUACCAGCACACAAUUUCUUAUUGGCUUUUGGAGAUAGAGAUAAAUGAUCAUAAAACUAUUUUAUUUAUCAGUUGUUCAAUAUUGCAUCAUUAGAUGUGGAAAAUUAAUGCAAUCUAACUUGAUUAUUGUGGUUGUGAUGUGUUGGCAGGUAAAUCAGAAGAUGAUUCUCACUUUAGCAGCCAGCAUAAUGUACUGGAGCUUGCAAAAGGCAAUGGAAGAGGGAGAGUCAUCUCCUUCCCCUUCUAAUGGUACAUGUGCCACUACUCCUGAUGCAUCUCCUGCACCUUCUAUUAGUGGUGAAGACGAUGUCUCCUCCCUGGGGGGUGAAGUGUCAAAUUUAAAUAUCGACGAUGCUGCCUCUGAUACAACUGUCUCCUCACUGAUUGAGAGUGAGGAAGCUCCUGGAGGAGAAUGAACCAUAAAUAUUGAGGUUUUCUGCGAGAUCAUAUUGGGUGUAAUAGCCAGAAGAAAAUGAAUAUACAAUGUGCAGUUGGGUGGCUAAGUCUACUCAUCAACUUCUUUGAAGCGAAAGCAAAUGUGAAAACAUAAGGAAAGAAAGAAUAGAGUUCUGUAAAAUUGCUUUUUGAGAAGGAAAUAGAAGCUCGACUUGAACAUGUUUCUUUCCCAAUUUUUCUUUACAGGUAGUUAUACUGUUAGAUAUAUUCAUUUGACAUAAUCACAUUUUCUUACAGUAAUUAUGAAUUUGACCAUUAACUAUUCUGUCGGCUGUAAUCUUGGUUCUAUUAUUCUUAUUUGUAAAAAUGAAGAAACUCUUAGUCCAUGCCCCUUGAGCA
rnacentral:misc_RNA from 1 species